rnacentral:rRNA from 1 species
UACAGAGGUCUCGAGCGUUGUUCGGAUUCAUUGGGCGUAAAGGGUGCGUAGGUGGCGGGGUAAGUCGGAUGUGAAAUCCCGGGGCUCAACCUCGGAACUGCAUUCGAUACUGCUUUGCUAGAGUACUGGAGAGGAGAUCGGAAUUUACGGUGUAGCAGUGAAAUGCGUAGAUAUCGUAAGGAAGACCAGUGGCGAAGGCGGAUCUCUGGACAGUUACUGACACUGAGGCACGAAGGCCAGGGGAGCAAACGGG